ACAACAUUGUUAGAAAGUGAAUAAUAAUGAGUCUCUUCAAAUAAGUCGAUGAUAGAGAACUGCUUGUUGGGAAAGUGCGUGAAGAAUCCAGAGAUGGACAGAAAUUCUUCUCUAAAAUAAUUAAUGGAGGAAAAUCUCCAAGAUCAGAAUCUUCUGUAGACAGAAAAAUUCCAAGUAGCAACUAAAAGACAAAUGGAAAGUUUGCUCAUUUGAAUUUAAAACCUCAGAUUUUUGAUUUCUGCAACUACUGUGUAUGAGUCCCAGCAGUUUUAAAAAAGGAAGAGAAAACAUCUGGAAUUCUAGAAUGAAAUCUCCUUCAUGAUUUUACAUCCUCCUAAGCAUGAAAAUGAUUGCUUAUACUUACGAAAAUUCUAAUGUACUUAAAACAACGAAAUGCAAAACACUAACUAGCAAAUAAAAGCUUACAAUCACAUUGUCCAUUUUCCUCUACCAUAGUAACUCAAUGACCUUAGAAACUAAACAUUACAUCAGAAACCAAAGAGAACUCAUGAAAAAUAUUUCUGUAGUGUCUGCCUCAUACAAAGGUCUUACACUUCCAGAGCUUUCAUUCCCCCAUAUACACUUUGCAGCAAUGCAGAGGGAAGAGCAGAGGCUCUACAGAUCUCCAUCUCUCAUCUGCAAUAACAGUAUCUCUCUUGUCAGUAAUAAUGUUUCCUGGCACAGGAAACGCUCACUUCUUUGCAACAGACACACUGGCACAAUACUUGUUAACAGCCAUAGGAGAUAUCUAGCAUCUGUGUCCCAGGAAAAAGGAACAUGUAACAGGAAUUGAAUGCAAGUUUUUUUGGGUGGAGAAUUACAAGCCUGAUUUGCUCUCAUUACUUAUUUUUAUGUCACUACCAAAAUGAUAGAUAUGAUCUUGGGAAUCUACUGUGUUUGUUACAGGCAUACCUCUGUGCAGAAGUCCAUUUUACUAGAGUUAAAAGACUUACACGGUGUCUGAAAAACAGACCGUCUCAAGAAAACAUUCAUACUUUGAUGCAGACUUCUCACUAAACAAGGUAUUUUAUGACACACUUGGUUGCUGAAUAAUUUUAGUGAUUGUAUAACUUAAAAUUCUGUAAUUCAAUUUAUUAUAAGGCUAACAGCCUGUUAGUAAUAAUAUUCCUAAGACUGCAGCAUCUAGGAUCUAUCAUAUUAUACAAGGAAUUUCUGUGUUCACUGAAAAUUCUAUUUUUAGAAAUUACUCAUAAUUGAGUAUCAGAGAGAGGCACGUGUAUGUCAUACAAUAUGCCUCCUCCAGAGCUAUAAGGGCCGAGAGAAUGAAGAAAUCUUCACAUUUAUUCAGGAAGGCCACCGAACAUACUAAAGCCUUUACUCUCUUGCCAGCAUUCAAGAUUCACAAUCCUGACCUUUUCACUAGUAAAGUCUCAGCAGAAACACCAUAUGCAAGAACAGUACUAUUGCUUCCUUACUGAACACAGAUGCACAAAGAAGGAACCUUAUUAAUAUGUAAAUGGAGGAAGGCAAGAUAACAUUAAAAAUCCUUUGCAUGAAGCAAGACAAUAAUAUUUACUAAAAUUACUCUUCAAUGUAGGAGAAAGAAAAUAAGCUUAAAAUAAAUGAAAAAUAAUUCUUAACUGAUUCCAUUUGUGCUCCUAUGUUUACUCUAAAAUUGGCAAAUAGACUCCUGUAGGAAAGAAAGAGAUCUGCUUUCUGACAAAUAAUUAAACCAACUUCAACAAAUACGGAAACUUCCCAUUUGUAAAUCUGAGGAGAUACUAAGGAUUGAAAAAUAUGGAAGAACUCGUGCAUGCUGAGAAGAGGUGAUCAUCUGAAAAAAGAUGCUGCAAUGAAAUUGAAAUGAAAAUGUAAGAAAAAGAAGGAAAGUUAGACAAACAGGACAGCACUAAGCAGCAGUUCUGCCAUGCUGAAGGAUGAGCCAAAGAAUAAUCCAUCACUGGCACCUUAUCAUGGUAUAGAAGCCACUGGUCACAGAAAAGGGAUUCAAAGACAUUUUCACAUUCAGCAUAUACAGCAAAGAAAGCAGAAAAAAAACCCCAAACCCCACAACAAUAACAUAUUGGAGCCCGUUCAGUAUUAGCUUUGCUAGAAAAACAGUUUAUUUUUCCUUCUGCUAAUGUGGGUACCAACAAACAGCCACACAUUGGAACGAUGACUAAAAUAUGGUGUUUCUUUUCACAGUAAACCAGCUAUCACACUGAUCCUGUACAUAAAACCUUCAGGAAAGUAUGACUGGGAUUAGGAAAAAACUACAAAUUUGAUCAAUCAAGAAGGUAAGUAUUUAGUAACAAAUAUGUCAUGAUACAAAUGACUCAUAUCCUUCCACAAUGCCUUUGCACACUGGAAAAUACUAACAUCAACUCUGAAAAGUAAUUCAGCUAUUUUUGGAAAAAGAGGGAAGCAUUGUGACUAUUUUUCCAGUUUGCCCAGUAAGAACACUGACCUAGCUAACCCGAUUGAUUUCACUCAACCAUACUCCCUUUCUCCUAUUAAAGUCACAGUGGGUGGUUGUCGAAUAGGAGUUACUUUUAUCACAAAAUUAGACAAAACACAUCUCAUGUUAAAUUCUGCACUGCAUACACUCCAAAUAGUUGAGAGGACUAAUUC
rnacentral:lncRNA from 1 species